rnacentral:lncRNA from 1 species
GAUGCUGGGAGUUACCUCGCCGACCUUGGAAGCCGACUUUGGAGCAAAGCACCUCAUCGUCUUGCUGGUGAGCCUCUCUUACUUUGCUUGUAAUACGUUCGCUACUGUAAGACAUCGUUUGCAAACUUACCUUGUUCUUAACACUCCAGCUCCUCUUCAGCCAUCACAAAUAUCCUGUUUUAGUGCACCGCGUGAGGAAAAUGUCUUCACAGAUGCCCAAUGGAUUUCUGUCCUAUUUUUCCAGAUCACUUUAGGAGAAACAUGGUCAAGGAAACGACAUGUUUUGUCAACCUUGGCAAAUUCUAAGCACCCGUCGCCUUAGUGGAGAGGUACGUCGGCGUGAUUAUGAAGUCCUAGUCUUUUGUUGACAAGCUUCUUCCUUGCAGAGCAUUGAGGCGUGACAUGGAAGAAUUUAAUUACCUUUCGAAAAGACAAGAUAUGUCCAGAGAGCGGUCCUUGGAAUGCCAAAGUUCCUGAGAAGAAGACACUCGAGAGUUUGGAGAAUUUCGAGAGUUUGGAUAGACUUUGAAUGGGAAAGUCAAGUCAACACAAGAAAGAAAGUAAACAAUAUUUUACACUAUUAAUCUCCUACGAAUCGAAGAUCUUACCGUGUUACAAUAGCUG